AUUGAACGCUGGCGGCAUGCCUAACACAUGCAAGUCGAACGGCAGCACGGGAGCUUGCUCCUGGUGGCGAGUGGCGGACGGGUGAGUAAUGCAUAGGAAUCUGCCCAGUAGCGGGGGACAACUUGGGGAAACUCAAGCUAAUACCGCAUGCGCCCGUACGGGGGAAAGCGGGGGACCUUCGGGCCUCGCACUAUUGGAUGAGCCUAUGUCAGAUUAGCUUGUUGGUGGGGUAACGGCCUACCAAGGCGACGAUCUGUAGCUGGUCUGAGAGGACGAUCAGCCACACUGGGACUGAGACACGGCCCAGACUCCUACGGGAGGCAGCAGUGGGGAAUAUUGCACAAUGGGCGAAAGCCUGAUGCAGCAAUGCCGCGUGUGUGAAGAAGGCCUGCGGGUUGUAAAGCACUUUCAGUAGGGAGGAAACAGUAGCCGGUUAAUAUCCGGUUGCCUUGACGUUACCUACAGAAGAAGCACCGGCUAACUCUGUG
rnacentral:rRNA from 1 species